AAUUAAACCUAAAGCACUAUCAUGUCGUUGUAAUACUGAAGGUUGUCAAUCCAAAUGGGUGUGAUGCUAACAAUCAAGAUGUGAUCAGAAGUCACUAAGUCAAGCCAAGCAAUAACAGGUUGUGGUGUGUUCUAGCAGUUCUAAGUGAACAUGGAGAAAAUAGAAAUUCAAGCAGAAACAGUAAAACACUCGACCAACACAGCUCUUUGCAGAGCACUGGGUGAGGUCGAGUGACAGGUCGAGUAACAGACAGAAAAUAAAAUACAGAUACUCGACUGCACAGUCUGUUACCAGACAAUUGGGUGGUCGAGUAACAAGAAAGAACUGCAGAAAUUACGCGACAGAUAACAAGAUGCAGUAAAUAACAGUGGAGUAAACACAGAAUUCAAUCAGAUAAAGAAUUCCUGAGGAUGGGGUAAUUGAGUAGUUUCGUUUCCUCAGUUUACAGGUGAUUGACAUGCUCAAUAAAUUAACCCUAGACAACAAGUUCAUUAACCAAAUCUAAGUGCCACCGCAACAGAGACUCUCAAGUUAACCUAGUCCCAGACUCAAUCACCAUUGACGAGAGAUAACCUAACAGGCAUUACGAAUCAACAAGUUAAAGCCAAAACGCUCCUUGCAACCAAUACCUUGGUACAGGGUCACGAAACUCUGGAAUUAGUGGUUCAGACAUUUCAUCGAACACCUUUUGGGCGCGGAAAUGUCUGGGCUCAAAUUCCAGUUGAUCAGAAAGCAAUAGGGAUUAAGAACAACUAAUCCAGAAGGGAUAUAUCAACCAAUACUCAAUCACCUAGCAUAUUGAGAAUUCUACACUACUCUAACCCAUCCUCAGAAACCUAUUCACUACUCAGACAUCAUAACAGUAAGCAUAAACGUUGAACAAGUUGAAAACAUGAUAACAACUGUGUAACAACAAGAUGAUAACAGAAUGAACAACAGUAAACGAAAUCAAGAACAAAAGCUGAAUACUGAAUACUAAAUAGAUAAAGAGAAAUCUGGAUUACAAAAGGUCUAGAACACAAGGUCUACGGAAUAAAACUAGAUAAAAACUUGUCUGCCAAAAUGUGAAGUACAUGCUACUUACAGCCAAAUAUUCCGAAACCCUAAUACUUAAAACGACGCAGUAUUGGGACGGAUUAAGAACUGUACUCGACCCAUGUGGUCGAGUGGGAGGUCGAGUGAAUAGCUGGAGUCUUCUUUUCUUCCUUGUGCUCGAGUGUCUGGUUGAGUGCGGAAUGAAGAAGGCUCUGAAGCUUGUCAUCGAGUAUGUAGUCGAGUGGUGGUGAUGGUGAUACUCGACUUCCACGUAGAGUGAAGAGGUCAAGUAGUGGUCUGGCAAUGAAGGUGAAGACACUCGGCCUCAGGGUCGAGUGACGUGAUCGAGUGAUGGUCAGGUGAUGGGAUGAAGACACUCGACCUCGUGGUCGAGUGAUGUGGUGAAGUAGUGAUGUCCUCUACUCGACCAGGGGGUCGAGUGAUCUGUUGAGAUCUUGAAGCUCCUAAUCGACCUCGGGGUCAAGUCGUUUGAUAUGAUCAGGCCCGCUUCUUCCAGAUAGCUUGUCAACAGCUCCAAAUCACCUGAAAUCAACGCAAAUAUGCAACAUGCAUGCAAAUCUAUCCA
rnacentral:sRNA from 1 species